UUUCCUUGAUUUAGUAAUGAUAUUGCUCAUAGAAAUUGAUAAUAUACUAUUUUAUAUUCACUCGUUCAAGUGCUGAUCUAUUUUUAAAUUGAAUAUUUAUGUAAGUAUUAUGUAUAACACGAUAUAAAUAAUUUAAGGACAUAAGAAAUUAAAAUUUCAAGUGCCAAUAUUGAUUAUUUUUCCAGUUUUAUUCAAAUAUAUUGAAAUUAAUAUGGAAACAAAAGUUCAUAAAUAUUAGUUUGCAAAGCCAUGUCAGAAGAGUAGGAUUAAAGACAAAGUAUUAAGAGUAAUUGGGCUGUUCCUGAACAAUAUUGAAUAUAAAUAUUCAAAAAUAUGAUUGAUAACUGCAUAUCCUACUAAGUAGAUCAAUACCAAAAUCCCAUUAGAGAAAUAAGUUAAAAUUAUGUUUUACUUGUAUAAUUUUCUUGCUAUUUGUCCACCAUUAUUUGUGACUAGAAAUUAAAUAGUCAAAAAGAAUUUAGUACCAGUUUUUAUUUCCCAAAAAAAUUGUUAAAUAAUUACAUAUUGCUUAAGAUACAGUAUAUUAUAUUGUGUUUAUAGUUGAUAAUUCUAGUUCUUAGUUGUUUAUAGUUGAUAAUUAACAAUAUUUCUGAUGUUAGAUAUUAUAUUAGAUAAAAAAUUUAAUUACCAAUAGCUACCUACCUAUGUAGCUGCAGAUUAUAUAUUGUGUAGUAGGUACUGUAUAAUUCUUUAGUUCAAGAAACAAAUAUCAGUACAAGUAUAUAACCAAAAAAAUGUUGAUGCAAAUUCUUUGUAUAACAUACGUACCCCUAUGGUAUUCAACUUUUCAUUGUUCUUUUAAUUAGAUACACAAUAAGCACAUUAAUUGGUUUAUUAAACAACCAAAACUCUAACUACUUAAAUUCACAAUAUAAAUAUCACAAUAAAUGUAUAAGCUUUGAUCAAUUCCUAUUAUUAAUACCUGACGACUUCAUACUUUAUAACUACCAAUGGCUAUCCUACUAACACACUAGCCAACUAAUAAUAAAUCUGUUCUAAAAAAAUACAACAUAAAGACAUCGUUAUUGCAAUAAUAUAGAAAUAUAUUCCAUGUAUCAUUAACUACCUAGGUAUAAAUACAAUACCCACAUCUUCUUUUAUGCGAAUAGUGCGUUAGGAGGCAGAAAUAUUGCCUGCAUUGUACAUCGUACAAAUUGGCUAGAAUUUAUUAAUAUCCAUUGCAAACAUUUCUCUUUUAAAGGGUCUAAAUGUUUUGUCUUUUUACUGUGUCCCUGUAAUAUGUUAUCAAUUAACAACAGUUAUCAAAUAUGACCUGGACAAUAAUUGUUUUAACUUUUUUUCAAACUAAACUCUUUAAACAAACUAUAUAAAUAAAAUUUAUCUCAUAACCUAACUUGCUGUUAGAAUUUCUUUCUUGUUAUUCUAUGUUCCUGUAUUGUUAUUCUUCACAUUAUCAAUUUCUAUGAGCAAUAUCAUUACUAAAUCAAGGAAAUCUAUUCCUAAUGCCAAUUUAAAUUCUGUGAAGGCACAACACUUUCUUCAAUAUUUGUUUACUUCCAAAGGGCAAAGGGUAUAACUUGAAAUAUUUCAAGUAUAUAUUUUAAUUUUUGACAUUAAGCACUCACAUUUAGAACAUCUGAAAUAAGAAAUUUUGUUAUUCUACGCGUCUAAAAAGAUAUAACAUUUUUCUCACUAUAGAGCGAAAUUUCUUUGCGGCUUCAGAUACAAAACUUGCGGAUUUCCAUACAUCGAAAUACAAAAUAAGAUAUUAUUUAUUAGUAGACAAAUACCAAAAUAUAGAAGGCCAAACCAAACCUCUAGGAAAUAACUUUAAAAUACAUUAUUUUUUCAAAAAACGUUUGGAUCUAUAAAUUACAAUAAUAAUCUCAUCACAUCUGUCAGUGAAAUGUUCAAUUUAUAUAUUUUCAAUUUCAAUUUCAAAUACUCGACGCUCAUUGGUCGUGACGAAAUCGUCUUCCUCGACAAAAUACAUAUUUUCCUACAUAGCCCGCUAUAGGGAGUUGAAUAUCCUUCUUCUAUAUAUCCUUGCUGCACCCUCAGAAGUCGUAUCAAUGGAUGAUGGAUGCAUGAAAAUCCUGACCGUGAAUCCAUCCUUCUAGUUAUUAUUUUAUGAAUCCACCUUAGAGAAAGCUGAAAGCCAAUAGCCAAACCUCUGCCAUUGGCCAAUAUUUGAAAAAUUCCAAAAGCCAAUAAUUUUUAAAUUAUUGGCUUUUGGAAUUUUAUAAACCUCUACACAACGCUACACUUGUGUCUACACUCUUUUCUGUUUCAUAGGUAGGUAUGUAAAAUUGGAAUUAUUGGAAUAAUAGUAUAAAAAAGUUUAUUUAUGAGAAUAACCACGUAUAACGUAAUAACUUUAAUACCGCUUAUUUAGUUAAAAGUCUCUGAUAUUAUGCAACUGAUAGUAUUCAUUUUCGGGUAUUUAUCUCUGACAUCUUUUUUUUAUCAUAUUUGUUUAAAAGUCAUAAAUAGACAUUAAACUUACAUUAAAUAAAAGAUUUUAAUCAAGUGUUGAGCUCUGUAUUAAGUGAAAAUAAAAUCUAGCGAUACGAAAAUGAGUAUCUUAAAUGUUCAAGAUUUAAUACUGUCAAAGUAUGAAGAACCCCGUUUCUACGUCAAUUUUAAUACAGUUUUGAGGCCCACUGUAGCAGUAAGAAAUGAAUUUGAACACAAAAUCAACAAGACAAACCAUGUUUUGUGCUGGAGAAUUCAAGAAAACACCCUUGAAAAAAUUGAUAAGAAAAAUGUUGGAUUUUUGUUUGAUUCAGAGGCUUACAUUGUGCACUGGCUCUUUGAUCUUAAAAUAGAUCAGUCAAUAACUGAAGAAAUGUUGGUGUAUUACUGGAGGGGGCAACAUGCUGUAAAAGGCUAUAGUCCUCUUCCAUCAGAUAUAGAAGAGCAAUAUCCUGUUGAGAGGUUGUUCCAGUGGAGUGAACCAGCAUUGUUUUUCCAUGGCUUUGAGAAAUUAAUAGUUUUUAAUGUUAUGGCAACCACAAUGGGAGUUCUUUUCUAUACAUGAAAUUGAAGAAAAUAAUGAGCCAGAUAUAUUUUUGGAAACUGUAAAAGGCAAUUAUCAAGACUUUUAUCAUAUAAAGACUAAUACAGACUUUAGUCCAAAAUUAUUUUACCUUAACACUAUCACGGGUAGUUUUUUAGCCACUGAAGUGGAAUACCCUCUUAGAAAAAUUGGUGGUUUAGCUCCAUUUCCAUUUCUACAAAAUCAUCUUUAUUCAGCAUCUGAACCGGCCUUAUUUCUUCUUGAUAAUAAUACAGAAAUUUGGAUAUGGGAGGGUAAAACUGGCUCCAACAGUGAUAAUACUUUUAAAGAUCAGUUAAAACUAGCGAAGGAUUUACAAUUGAAAUACUGUGAGGAAAAAAGGAAGAUUACUAAUGAAAACAUUAAAAUCUUUUAUACAAAGGCUGGUCAGGAAACACUUGAAUUUAGAAAUAUUUUUCCAGUGUGGGAAAAAUAGAUAAAUAACAUGUACUAUUACUAUGUUUUUAUGGAGUAUUGAAAUCAAUGGAAGUCAAUUUGAAUCCAAUAUCAAUCCUAUGCACGGAGGAAUAAGAGAAUUUGGUUGGUGUCCAAAUUCUCUUUUGAUUAGGUGGUGAGCAACCCUCUUAUUCCUCCGUGAUCCUACUAUGGUAUAUUUUAUCUACCCUCCAUCGAUCCUACAUCAGCCAAUGCGUGAACCAUAUAUGUAAAACGGGCCAUAUACAAAAGGCCUAGCCCAUAUGUAAAUGGACACUCGAUUCGUAUUGAAACAUAAAAAAAAUUAACCCCCCUGAGAUUUGCCUUUUCAUCAGUCAUUUUUCUUUAAUGCUAUCAGCUGAUUGUUGUUUAUUGUUAUUCUGUAACUUAAUCCUAGGUUUGGGGUUUAAAUCAACUUUAUAAAAGUGGCCCUUACAUUACAUAUUUUUAUUUUGUUCUGGAUUUAAAAUAAACUUAAAUUAAUUU
rnacentral:misc_RNA from 1 species